GCAGUCGACGAGAGAGAGGGAGCUUGCUUCCUUGAUCGAGUGGCGAACGGGUGAGUAACGCGUGAGGAACCUGCCUCAAAGAGGGGGACAACAGUUGGAAACGACUGCUAAUACCGCAUAAGCCCACGGCUCGGCAUCGAGCAGAGGGAAAAGGAGUGAUCCGCUUUGAGAUGGCCUCGCGUCCGAUUAGCUAGUUGGUGAGGUAACGGCCCACCAAGGCGACGAUCGGUAGCCGGACUGAGAGGUUGAACGGCCACAUUGGGACUGAGACACGGCCCAGACUCCUACGGGAGGCAGCAGUGGGGAAUAUUGCACAAUGGGGGAAACCCUGAUGCAGCGACGCCGCGUGGAGGAAGAAGGUCUUCGGAUUGUAAACUCCUGUUGUUGAGGAAGAUAAUGACGGUACUCAACAAGGAAGUGACGGCUAACUACGUGCCAGCAGCCGCGGUAAAACGUAGGUCACAAGCGUUGUCCGGAAUUACUGGGUGUAAAGGGAGCGCAGGCGGGAGAACAAGUUGGAAGUGAAAUCCAUGGGCUCAACCCAUGAACUGCUUUCAAAACUGUUUUUCUUGAGUAGUGCAGAGGUAGGCGGAAUUCCCGGUGUAGCGGUGGAAUGCGUAGAU
rnacentral:rRNA from 1 species